CACGUAGGGUGCGAGCGUUGUCCGGAAUUAUUGGGCGUAAAGAGCGUGUAGGCGGUCCGGUAAGUCAGCUGUGAAAGUCAAGGGCUCAACCCUUGAAUGCCGGUUGAUACUGUCGGGCUAGAGUCCGGAAGAGGCGAGUGGAAUUCCCGGUGUAGCGGUGAAAUGCGCAGAUAUCGGGAGGAACACCAAUGGCGAAGGCAGCUCGCUGGGACGGUACUGACGCUGAGACGCGAAAGCGUGGGGAGCAAACAGG
rnacentral:rRNA from 1 species